AUUGAACGCUGGCGGCAUGCCUUACACAUGCAAGUCGAACGGCAGCACGGGAGCAAUCCUGGUGGCGAGUGGCGAACGGGUGAGUAAAGUAUCGGAACGUGCCCAGUCGUGGGGGAUAACGUAGCGAAAGUUACGCUAAUACCGCAUACGAUCUAUGGAUGAAAGCGGGGGAUCGCAAGACCUCGCGCGAUUGGAGCGGCCGAUAUCAGAUUAGGUAGUUGGUGGGGUAAAGGCUCACCAAGCCGACGAUCUGUAGCUGGUCUGAGCGGACGACAGGCCACACUGGGACUGAGACACGGCCCAGACUCCUACGGGAGGCAGCAGUGGGGAAUUUUGGACAAUGGGCGCAAGCCUGAUCCAGCCAUGCCGCGUGCAGGAUGAAGGCCUUCGGGUUGUAAACUGCUUUUGUACGGAACGAAAAGGUUUGACUUAAUACGUUGGACUCAUGACGGUACCGUAAGAAUAAGCACCGGCUAACUACGUGCCAGCAGCCGCCGUAA
rnacentral:rRNA from 1 species